rnacentral:rRNA from 1 species
GAUGAACGCUGGCGGCGUGCCCAAUACAUGCAAGUCGAGCGGAGCGGGGACGGGUGAGUAACACGUGGUUAAACUCCUCUAAGACUGGGAUAACUUCGGGAAACCGGUACUAACACGGAUACUGAUAGCUGGAGCCGUGAUGCAUUAGCUAGUUGGUAAGGUAACGGCUUACCAAGGAAACGAUGCAUAGCAGACCUGCAAGGGUGAGCGGCCACACUGGAACUGAGACACGGUCCAGACUCCUCCGGGAGGCAGCAGUGGGGAAUCUGCCGAAAUGGGCGAGAGCCUGACGGAGCAAAGCAGCGUGAAUGGUGAAGGUCUUCGGAUCGUAAAACUCUGUGAUUAGGGAAGCGGUACCUAAUCAGAAAGCCCCGGCUAAGUACGUGCCAGCAGCCGCGGUAAUUC